rnacentral:rRNA from 1 species
GUAGGUGGCAAGCGUUGUCCGGAAUUAUUGGGCGUAAAGCGCGCGCAGGCGGUUUCUUAAGUCUGAUGUGAAAGCCCACGGCUCAACCGUGGAGGGUCAUUGGAAACUGGGGAACUUGAGUGCAGAAGAGGAAAGUGGAAUUCCACGUGUAGCGGUGAAAUGCGUAGAGAUGUGGAGGAACACCAGUGGCGAAGGCGACUUUUCUGGUCUGUAACUGACGCUGAGGCGCGAAAGCGUGGGGAGCAAACAGGGAUUAGAUACCCUGGUAGUCCACGCCGUAAACGAUGAGUGCUAAGUGUUAGAGGGUUUCCGCCCCUUUAGUGCUGCAGCUAACGCAUUAAGCACUCCGCCCUGGGAGUACGGUCGCAAGACUG